GGGUUGCUAACUCAACGGUAGAGUACUCGGCUUUUAACCGACUAGUUCCG
rnacentral:tRNA from 1 species